GUCAUAGUUGUGUGAAUGGUCUUUUGACCUGCGAUGGUAUGACUGCUCACAGUGAGACUGUUGAAGUUUGAUUGACACAUAAACAUAGUCUCAAUGAGCCCUUAUAGUGGAUGUUGGCAAUAGUUGAUCCAUUGUAGGAGUAGGGGUGCAUCAAGAUAGAAUCUAUCGAUCUUGAUAAAAAAGAGUAGUCUUAUAAAAUUUGAGAGGCUAAGUCUGAGAGUCUGUGGCCACAACAGUGUGAUUGAUAAAAAAGAGUUUCCAUAACGAUCACAAUUGGAGUUGAGCUGAUCGAAUUGAUCAUAUGACUGAUGAUGAGGUUUGACUAUUUAUCUAUAACC
rnacentral:lncRNA from 1 species